AUGAAGAUUCCCAGCGACGCCUCCAAGGAGGAAAGCGACGCCCACAGACGCCGUCGCCGCCGGCCGGCCAUCACCAGCCAGGCUUUCGCUCGGUGCAGCCACUCCCACGCAGCAGGGCAAGGUCGACCCGUACCUCCAUUGGAGGUGCACCCCCACACAGCGAGCACGCCACCACUGUGCAGGGCCACCAGCUAUCCUCCUCGACGACGGAACCGCAGAACCAGAUCGGAUCCUGCACCCCGCAUCCAACCGCGGCCGGAGCUUCCCUGCUCCAACCAGCGGCAUCCGGGCACCACCAACGGCCGGUAG
rnacentral:rRNA from 1 species